AACGAACGCUGGCGGCAGGCUUAACACAUGCAAGUCGAACGCCCCGCAAGGGGCGUGGCAGACGGGUGAGUAACGCGUGGGAAUCUACCCUGAACUGCGGGAUAGAUCCGGGAAACUGGAAUUAAUACCGCAUGUGCCCUGAGGGGCAAAGAUUUAUCGGUUCAGGAUGAGCCCGCGUCCGAUUAGCUAGUUGGUAGGGUAAAGGCCUACCAAGGCGACGAUCGGUAGCUGGUCUAAGAGGAUGAUCAGCCACAUUGGGACUGAGACACGGCCCAGACUCCUACGGGAGGCAGCAGUGGGGAAUAUUGGACAAUGGGCGCAAGCCUGAUCCAGCCAUGCCGCGUGAGUGAUGAAGGCCCUAGGGUUGUAAAGCUCUUUCACCGGGGACGAUAAUGACGGUACCCGGAGAAGAAGCCCCGGCUAACUUCGUG
rnacentral:rRNA from 1 species